rnacentral:rRNA from 1 species
CAGCAGUAGGGAAUUUUCCGCAAUGGGCGCAAGCCUGACGGAGCAACGCCGCGUGAGUGAGGACGGCUUUCGGGUUGUAAAACUCUGUUCUUCGGGAAGAACGGUGGUCGGGUGAAUAGCCCGAUUGCGUGACGGUACCGAAGGAGAAAGCCCCGGCUAACUACGUGCCAGCAGCCGCGGUAAUACGUAGGGGGCAAGCGUUGUCCGGAAUUAUUGGGCGUAAAGCGCGCGCAGGCGGCCUGUUCAGUCGGAUGUGAAAGACCACGGCUCAACCGUGGGGUGGCAUCCGAAACUGGCGGGCUUGAGUACAGGAGAGGAGAGUGGAAUUCCCGGUGUAGCGGUGGAAUGCGUAGAGAUCGGGAGGAACACCAGUGGCGAAGGCGGCUCUCUGGCCUGUAACUGACGCUGAGGCGCGAAAGCGUGGGUAGCGAACAGGAUUAGA